CAUUCCUCUUUCAAUUAACCUCUUCACUUUGGUGAGUUUUACUGCAAUCUCUCUGUGUUUCUUGCAUUUCUUUUUCGUUAUUAGAAUAUGGGUCUUUCACUCUUUCACAAGAAAGCAAACAGUAUACACUACUGUCAGAGUUGAGCCAAUAUUUAAGGCAUUAACUUUAAGAGAGGAAAAAAGAUGGAUGAAGCAUUAUCCCUGAGUUCUUUCUAUGCUUUCCACACACGUUUAAUAGGAAGCAUUGGGCGUUGGACACUGGACAUUUCAAGUUAAAACAAAUUAAGUUUCAAAGUUGGAUCUCUCUAUCUUGGUGUCUAUGCUGAUGAUGGUCCGAAGAAGCUAAACAAAGUUAGCAAAUGAUUACAUAAAGUGUUAUUCUGAACUGAAGUUAGAGGCAAGAGCCAAGGUGGAAGCGAAGAAGGCCAUGCGAGUUUAUGUAAAAGUAAUCCACUUGCAACUGCUUAGAUUCAAAUUCAAGAAGAAUGCCUGAAUGAUGCCUUUUAUUUGAUGUGGUAGAAUUAAGUUAUUCACGAAGAUUGUUCUCUGCUGCAGUAUGAAGUCUAAAGUUGUGAAUGAUUUGUGAUAAUGCUAAAAGCAAUAAGUCAUGUUGGGCCCAUGUAAGACGGAAAGAUUCAUGGAAAAGUAUAUCCUUUGGUCUGGUUUGAGAAGUAUGGAGGGCGCUCUGCUUCUGAACUGAAACAAAACAAACAAUUGAGAAAUCAUCUCUCAUGGAAAAUGGUGUAUGCAUGACUGUUAGGCUUUAAAUAUUGUAUGGCAGACUAAGCAUUCAUUCU